rnacentral:rRNA from 1 species
AACGUAGGUUCCGAGCGUUAUCCGGAUUUACUGGGCGUAAAGCGCGUUCAGGCGGUUUGGCAAGUCAGGCAUGAAAUCUCUCGGCUCAACCGGGAGAGGUUGUCCGAUACUUCCAGACUUGAGGGCAGUAGAGGGUGGUGGAAUUCCGGGUGUAGUGGUGAAAUGCGUAGAUAUCCGGAGGAACACCAGUGGCGAAAGCGGCCACCUGGACUGCACCUGACGCUGACACGCGAAAGCUAGGGGAGCGAACGGG